UGUUAUCAUGUUUUAUACACUUUCAGGCACCGAAGAGGAAACAUCCUUUGCUUCUAUUGUCUGGGAUAGCGAGCAAUGCUUUCACCUACGAUCUUUCCCCUGAGUGUUCCUUUGCAAGGUUCAUGUCUGGUUCAGGUUUUGAUACAUGGAUUCUUGAACUACGUGGAGCUGGGUUGAGUUCUCUUAAUGCUGGUAAAGGCAUAUGAGACUCUCUUUUUUUUUUUUUUUUUUUUUUUUUUUUAAUUCUUUCGUUCUUUUAUGUUUGCCGUAUUUCAUUUGUUGUUGGGGCUGGAAUGUGAUUUGAUUGUUUGUGUAAUGAGAUCGGUGAGGAUACUGUAAGCUGUGUAUAAUAAUAUUUCCACAUUA